CUGGGCCCAGGGAUAAGGAACGAUUCUUGGUCAGGUCUUCUUAAGUGAGGAGACGUCUCCAGCCUUGCUUCAAUACAUGCUUUCCAACUUCUGCACCUGUUCCACGGUUCCGUCCGCCUGAAGGCUCUCUCACUCUCCUCCAGAAAGACUUCCAUCUCCCUGCAGGGAAACUGGACACAUGGAGACAUUGAGCCACUGCCCAAAGUUACACAGGAAAGCCAGCUAUGUCAAUGUGGACACUCGAGCAGUCCUCUGGAGUGAGCCACAUGGUGAAAAAUGGAGUCCUCCUGCCACCAGCCAAAAGGGACUUGCCAACCUUGUGACUGAGCCGGCCCAGACACUCCAGCCCCAGUUAAACCUUUGGAAGACUGUGGCCUCACCAACAUCUUGACUGCAACUUCGUGAGAGACCCAGAGCUAGACCCAUGCAACUAAGCUGCUCCCCAAUUCCUGGCCCACAGACACUGGGAGAGAUAAUACAUGUUUAUUUCUGUUUGAAGCUGCUAAGUUUUGGGUAAUUUGUUUUGCAGCAAUAGGUAAUUGAUAGCAUUAGGAAACAUUAGCUAAUGCUAACAAUGUUUUGCAGAUGAGGGAAUUGAGGCAUAAAAGUAACUUGCCCCAGGUCACACAGGUAACAAGUCGUUUAAACCAUGGCAGUUUGGAUCUAUGUAAAGUUCAGUAAUAAAUUAGAAUCUCUCUUUUACAGGAAUCAGGACACUUUGCCUGCUCAGAGGGAGAGAGGGAAAGAGACAGAGACACAAACACAGAGAGACAGUGACAUGGAGAAGUGCGCCGUGGGCUCACAGUACCAUGUGAAGGACUGGGGCUGCCCUUCUGUAAAGUGAAGGCAGUGGAGAAGUGAAGUGAAGUGUAAGUGAAGAGGAAAGUGAAGGAUGGUAGAGAGCACCCUUGCCCUUGCAGCCUGGCUGUGUUUGGCUUGGGGCUGCUGGUCUCCGACCCUGGCUGGGCUGGUGACACAGCCUAAGGUACCUGGGGGUGGAAUCUGGC
rnacentral:lncRNA from 10 species